GUCUUUUUUUUUAUUUUUGUUUUUAUGUUAUUUUUGUAAAAUGUUUUAGUUUUUAUAUUUUUUAAAAAGACAUUUAAAAUUUGUUUUUUGAACUGGAUUAGUNCCCAGGUAAUCAAAAUUAAUUAAUUCGGGAGUAAAGUUUUGUUUAAACCGAAAAAAUAUUGACUGACCUUGGAUUUUUCUUUGGAAUAUGCGUAUGGAGAGCCCUCUUUUUUGGUGAGUCUUAUCGGCACAUGUAUGAUUGUUUAGUUUUUAUUUUAUUUGUAAUGCUUUUUAUGUUUUGUCAUUUAAAACAGAUAUAUAUUUGGCUUAUGGACUUAUAAUCGUGUGUUACUAUUAUUAAUUUUUUUUGGAUUAUUUUUUUAUUUUUUUUUGAAAUUGGAAAAGAAAGUAAUUUUUUUUUUAUAU
rnacentral:rRNA from 1 species